rnacentral:rRNA from 1 species
AGAGUUUGAUCAUGGCUCAGAACGAACGCUGGCGGCGCGCCUAAUACAUGCAAGUCGAGCGAGAAGACGUAGCAAUACGUUUGUAAAGCGGCGAACGGGUGAGGAAUACAUGGGUAACCUAACCUUGAGUGGGGAAUAACUAGCCGAAAGGUUAGCUAAUACCGCAUACGACUCUUGGUCUGCGGAUCAGGAGAGAAAGCGAUACCGUGGGUAUCGCGCUCUUGGAUGGGCUCAUGUCCUAUCAGCUUGUUGGUGAGGUAAUGGCUCACCAAGGCUUCGACGGGUAGCUGGUCUGAGAGGACGAUCAGCCACACUGGCACUGCGACACGGGCCAGACUCCUACGGGAGGCAGCAGUAAGGAAUAUUGCGCAAUGGGCGACAGCCUGACGCAGCGACGCCGCGUGGGGGAUGAAGGUCUUCGGAUUGUAAACCCCUUUCGGCAGGGAAGAUGGGACGGGCAACCGUUCGGACCGUACCUGCAGAAGCAGCCACGGCUAACUUCCGUGCCAGCGAGCCCGCGGUAAUACCAAAGGUGGCAAAGCGUUGUUCGGAUUUACUGGGCGUACAGGGAGCGUAGGCGGGUGNGUNACCCCUUCGUGAAAUCUCCGGGGCCUAACCCGAAAGUGCCGGAAGGGGACUGCUCGGCUACAGGAUGGGANANGCACCGCCCAAAUUCCCCGCGUAACGGNGAAAUGCCUNAAAACCGCGCAGGAAGGCCCGNGNCCAAAGGNGNNCUUCCUGGACNUCCUUNNGCUGAGCUCCAAAGGCGNGGAANAANCUGAUCAANACCUGGNAGUCCNC